rnacentral:rRNA from 1 species
CAGAUGGACCCGCGGCGCAUUAGCUAGUUGGUGAGGUAACGGCUCACCAAGGCGACGAUGCGUAGCCGACCUGAGAGGGUGAUCGGCCACACUGGGACUGAGACACGGCCCAGACUCCUACGGGAGGCAGCAGUAGGGAAUCUUCCGCAAUGGACGAAAGUCUGACGGAGCAACGCCGCGUGAGUGAUGAAGGUUUUCGGAUCGUAAAGCUCUGUUGUUAGGGAAGAACAAGUGCAAGAGUAACUGCUUGCACCUUGACGGUACCUAACCAGAAAGCCACGGCUAACUACGUGCCAGCAGCCGCGGUAAUACGUAGGUGGCAAGCGUUGUCCGGAAUUAUUGGGCGUAAAGGGCUCGCAGGCGGUUUCUUAAGUCUGAUGUGAAAGCCCCCGGCUCAACCGGGGAGGGUCAUUGGAAACUGGGAAACUUGAGUGCAGAAGAGGAGAGUGGAAUUCCACGUGUAGCGGUGAAAUGCGUAGAGAUGUGGAGGAACACCAGUGGCGAAGGCGACUCUCUGGUCUGUAACUGACGCUGAGGAGCGAAAGCGUGGGGAGCGAACAGGAUUAGAUACCCUGGUAGUCCACGCCGUAAACGAUGAGUGCUAAGUGUUAGGGGGUUUCCGCCCCUUAGUGCUGCAGCUAACGCAUUAAGCACUCCGCCUGGGGAGUACGGUCGCAAGACUGAAACUCAAAGGAAUUGACGGGGGCCCGCACAAGCGGUGGAGCAUGUGGUUUAAUUCGAAGCAACGCGAAGAACCUUACCAGGUCUUGACAUCCUCUGACAACCCUAGAGAUAGGGCUUUCCCUUCGGGGACAGAGUGACAGGUGGUGCAUGGUUGUCGUCAGCUCGUGUCGUGAGAUGUUGGGUUAAGUCCCGCAACGAGCGCAACCCUUGAUCUUAGUUGCCAGCAUUCAGUUGGGCACUCUAAGGUGACUGCCGGUGACAAACCGGAGGAAGGUGGGGAUGACGUCAAAUCAUCAUGCCCCUUAUGACCUGGGCUACACACGUGCUACAAUGGACAGAACAAAGGGCUGCGAGACCGCAAGGUUUAGCCAAUCCCACAAAUCUGUUCUCAGUUCGGAUCGCAGUCUGCAACUCGACUGCGUGAAGCUGGAAUCGCUAGUAAU